CCCCACCUCCCACCGACGAUCCCCAAUUCCGGCCGCAUGGUCGCCUGUCGCCGGGUGCUGCUCCGUCCCGAGCACCGUCGAUGACUUUGUCGCCUGCUCAAGCCCGCCCCUCUUCAUUCCUCUCCCCAUUGUUGUCCAACGCCCCGAGCUCCCAUCGCGCCGCAGACCACAUACUCCUCCUGAAUCCCGAUGCACCGCCCGCGCGUGCCCACAUCUUGCCCGGUUGUCCACCCACGCGUCUCCUACCAAGGGGUCCGGCGAGCAGGGCCGGCAGCCAUGGCGAACUGCCAUGGGAGGGGCCAAUCCAAGCUGGCUCAGGCACGUUGAUCUGGCCUCCUUUGGGGCUCGACGGUGGCGCAGCAAGCCCAGUCGCGACGGAUGCGGCCAGUCUCGGCCAUCGCGGGAUCAUGCUGAUGACGUUUGGCAUGUCCGUGUAAGUGCCCACUACUGCUGAUCGGACAGAGGAAAGAAGAGAGGGCGCGGCGGCGGGAGCCUAGCGUCGUCGUCUGAGUCCAUGAGCGGCCCCACGCGCUCGAUGCCCAGUAGGUCGCCGAAUGCCGUGGCACGGGCUCAAGGGAUAGUCAGGGGUAAGGCCCCCACGCAAUGGAGGCCGUAAUCGACAUCGGCGACAGAGAACGGACGGAGGAUCACUUUGUGCGUGCUUUGGCUGGCGUCUUGGUCUGUCCGAUCUCAUCUUCUCUUCCAUCUUGAGAUGACUCUUGGUUGCGUUGGGGGGAGAUGCAGGGGAGGGUGAGGAGGCCAACGACAGGGUGAAGUAGCAGCCCGGCGAGGAGAGCAACAUGAUGUUUUGCACGUUCUCUUUCCUUGGUCUUCUUGUGGCUUUUUUCUUCAUCUCAUUAUUGACCAGUGCAUUGUUUAUGUGUGUAUAUCUAUCUUCUCCUUUUUUUUAUUCUCAUGAACUGAUGUGUGUACAGGGUAAGCUUAUUCUUCUCUCUAGAAUUUAUGGAUGAGCUAAUGGCCUUGGUUAUAUGUUUGUUCAGUCCACCUAAAGGAACAAAGUUUGCACCCUUUGACUGGUUUUAUUGGAAAAUCUGACAAAAAAUAUGAUUUGAUCCCUCUGCUUCCACAUGACAAUUGUUGGUCCAGAUACCGUAUUGUCUCAUGUCCUCUGUUGCAGUUUGUAGCUUAGAGUUUUAAGACUGGGCACUGUAGUGUUGUCUGUUAUGGCUGAUUGAUGUUGUUGGCGACCUUAAGAUCAGAUUAAUUCCCGCAGUCAAUAGCUCCAGUGCAGAGUAUAUGUGCAAUGAAGUAAUGUAGCGAGCACUGUAUGGUGGAGGAGAAUUUCUCUUGAAUUUUGUACAACAUUCAAAUUAUCAUCCAAAAAAAUGUGUAUGUUGUCUCUCAAUAGGUACAUAUGCAAAUUUAUCUUUUUGUUGGUUGUUUGUUGCUUCUUGCAGCAUCCCGAGUACAUAUGUGAGACUAUGGGAGUCCUUUUUUGUGUAAUGAUGAGAGGAAUAUGACAGGGCAAACAAUUGUACCAUGUGAACAUAAUCGCUGGGAUAUGCCGGUCAAUACAGGAAAAUCUAAAAGAAUGCGACUAAAAUCACCAUUUGAAGAUGUUCAAAAUCAAACAAGAUGACUACCUAAAGUACGAGCCUCGGAAAUCGUAAGAAGCAGAAGUUAUUGGUACUUGCUCACACUCAUUUCUCAUGUUGAUGCUCAGGCAUAACCUCACAAAGCUUUGGCACACACUCACUUAUAAUCAGGGCUCGCUUAAUUUUAUCUUUCUAACUCUUUCGAGAAAUACCAUAUCAAUAUUAUUUGUGAUGACUUGUCGGUCAUAAUUUCCAGUCAUGUAAUAUCCCUUCAUAUUAUUGGUAUUAGGCGUUAGCCAGAUGCUAAUCUUCGGUUGGCUGUGAAUGUAAGCUCUGUGUUCUCCUUUGUUUUUAUCUGAUUAUGCUAUGAAAAGAAGAGUAGUUCUUUUUGUGUGUGAUGGCGAGUUGUUAGUUCUGUAUGAUUUCAGAGCACAUUGGCGUGGGUUAGCAUGAAGAGAGUAAUAACCGUGCCUGCUGAAAAUAAUUCAGCAAGUGGGUGCUUUCCAUCAUUAUAUGAGUUAGAACCUUGCUAUACACAUAAUAGUACGCAUUCGAUUUCUGAACGAUGCUGAAGAUUGCACCAUCUGGUGCACGCUGCAGCCCUGCUCCACCAUUUGAUAUAAGUGUUGGCUGCAUGUCGUGUGUGUACUGUCGUCUGCACAGCAAUUUCGUAUUGGUUAUAGGAGCUGGAUGUAGGUAUUAACAAUAUUUUGGAAAAGGGGUAGCAUAGAAUUAGUUAGUGUAGUUCUUGGUUGGAUUAUGAGAAGAUCGGCAGGUGCAAUAAAAUCUAUAGCUAUCUUGCUCUACUAUUCAAACCAUAUUCUUGCUAUAAUUUUUUCUGAGCUCCCAGUUUCUGUAUAAGUCUAUUGGUCCUGAUUCUUAACAUGGUGUAUGUAUACUGUGCUUUUCUACUCCUUGGGUACAUAAAUGCACACAAGGUUUUGAGUACUAAACAGAAGCCAUAGAAAAGGCGUGAUUAAAACUUUUAUACGUUCUCAUUUGUUCGAAUCAAACCUUUACUUUUAGAAACAUUUCCAGUUUGGUUAAAUAUGGAUCUCACCUCACCUUAUGCUAUGUUUUUUUUGGGUAGAAUAGGACCUAUAGAUUCAGUUAUUUGGCUCAUCUUUAGUGAAAUUUGUAUGGUUUUAUGUACAUUUGUAUAGGUUAUAUAUUCCAUUUGACUUCAAAUGUAGCAUGCUUUAUGAUGGAUUUAUAAUUGAUUUCCAAUUUACUUAGUUGUCAUUCUGGUUCACAAUGACAUGGGCGUAUAUCAUAUGUUCUCUCUUGCUUUGUAUUUUAUCGUUGUACUCCCACCGUUCUAAAAUAGAUGAUCCAAUUUUGUACUAACUUUGUACUAAAAUUAGUACAAAGUUGAGUCAUCUAUUUUGAAACAGAGGGAGUAGCUUCCAGGACAACAAGACUAAGUAGUAGUUCUUUAUUAUCUUUGAAAAUCGACUACACCGACUAGAAGUAGAGGCAUGUACUGAAGCAAAGUCACUCUGUCUUUAUCAUGCCAAUAGGCUGAUGUGCCCAGAAAAUAGACAACAGGAGGAGCAAGUCACCGACUCUGAAAGCAUAAAAAAUAUUCAAUAUUUAGUCCACUACUCAAUUAUGAAGAGCUAUUUGUUCAAACAAGAUAAAUAUGUGAGCUUUUUCUAACUAUAGGGGAUUGGCGUAGCUUACUACUGUUGUUGAAAUGGGUUAGCAAGUAUAUGUCGCUUUUUAUUAGGAAAGUGAAAAAGAAACUCUUUGAUGUUGGGCCUAUUCCUGUGGUAGUGACAAUUUUUUCUAAUUUACACACAAGCAUCAGAUAUUUUGUUAUGAGAGAAGUUGGAGAGUACCUAAUACUUUUGAGGCACUAUUUCAUUUGCAAUGCUGGGCAACCAUGAAAAAAUUGGAAUUGAAGUAAUCAUGCUACAUCUAUUCAAGUGUGUUACUUUUAUGCAUAUCAAUUUACAAUGUACAUCCACCAUUAGCUUUGGUCCUGUUUCUUCCUCUGAAGUUGGCUUGGUGAUGUUUGUGUCCUUAACAAAAUAUGAAGCCUUUGGAGCUUGCCAGGACACACAUUUCGUAUGAAUUGCUGAUUAUAAGAGGUGAUGGUGUGGUUUGAGUUUUCAUGUUUCUGGGUGUACUUGUACAACUCAAUCCAAAACAAAUGUAAGCCGGUCAUUAUGAAUAUUUUUAGUACUACAUGUCGGGUCUUGUGUUUUGCAAUUAAGGCUUUAUAUUGGAAAUAAGGAAUAUUGUGUGCUAUUGAACCAUUGUGUCGUAAAAUAUAUAGCCAUAGUAACUCAGGUUCCGCGCAACAUAUUUCAGCAAUAAAGGUGUGCCUUCAUAUAGAGAUCGUAUGACAAGUGUGGUCAACUACCUCAUUUUAUUUUUACAUGUUCCAGAACUUAGUAGUUUUUCCUGCCUAUAAUCAUUUGAAUUAUGUGUAUUCCUAUUUUUUUAAAGAAGGAUCCUCUGUAUUCAUAAAGGUGGAAAGAGAGACACAUGGAAGGAGCACAUCACCAAAAAUGUUUCACGCACAAAGGCAUAAGAGACUGCAUGUCUUAUCUUCUUGCUAUUUGCAUGUUGGACACUGAGACAACCAACUAACAAUUUUUCUGGGUUCACUUGAACCAACUAUCAAUGAGCUCCACAGUGUCCCUUACAACCGCUGCGCUUGUGAGUUGACCUGGAUUCAGAAAGGUGCCUCUGGUUCUCCUAAUUCGUAAUAUGCACAGUUUGAAAGAUAGACCCAUUUGAAAAUAGAUACGAACAUGCUUUUAUGAAAGCACAAAAAAGGUUUCUUUUGAAGAUUUAUAUAUGGAGGUUACAAUGAUGCAUCAUUCAGGACUACCGGUAAUAGAGAAGGCACUCGGUCCUCCAAGCAAUACUCCCUGAUGAAGUCAUGUACCUAGGGUAGGGUCACAGGCCUAUCCUAGGUACCCUCCCCAAGGACAUCCACAGAAGAAGCUGCCUUCCAGUCGACCAAGAGGAAGGCCACUCGACAGAC